rnacentral:rRNA from 1 species
UACGUAGGGGGCAAGCGUUGGUCCGGAUUUAUUGGGCGUAAAGAGCGUGUAGGCGGCCAAACAGGUCCACUGUGAAAACAUCGAGGCUCAACCUCGAGAGGUCGGUGGAAACCGUCUGGCUAGAGUCCGGAAGAGGAGAGUGGAAUUCCCGGUGUAGCGGUGAAAUGCGCAGAUAUCGGGAAGAACACCCGUGGCGAAGGCGGCUCUCUGGGACG